UACAGAGGUCUCAACCGUUGUUCGGAUUCAUUGGGCGUAAAGGGUGCGUAGGCGGUCGCGCAAGUCGGAUGUGAAAUCUCAGGGCUCAACCCUGAAACUGCAUUCGAUACUGCGCGGCUAGAGUGCUGGAGGGGAGACUGGAAUUUACGGUGUAGCAGUGAAAUGCGUAGAUAUCUGGAGGAACACCGGUGGCGAAGGCGGCAUCCUGGACCGGUAUUGACGCUGAUGCGCGAAAGCCAGGGGAGCAAACGGG
rnacentral:rRNA from 1 species